CGUAGGAGGCGAGCGUUAUCCGGAUUCACUGGGCGUAAAGCGCGUGCAGGCGGUUUGGUAAGUUGGGCGUGAAAGCUCCCGGCUCAACUGGGAGAGGUCGUUCAAUACUACCAAACUAGAGAAUAGAAGAGGAAGAUGGGAUUCCCGGUGUAGUGGUGAAAUGCGUAGAUAUCGGGAGGAACACCAGUGGCGAAGGCGGUCUUCUGGUCUAUUUCUGACGCUCAGACGCGACAGCUAGGGUAGUAAACGGGAUUAGAGACCCCGGUAAUCCUAGCCGUAAACGAUGUGAACUUGGCGUCGGUGGCUUAAACACCAUCGGUGCCGAAGCAAACGCGAUAAGUUCACCGCCUGGGGACUACGGCCGCAAGGUUA
rnacentral:rRNA from 1 species